rnacentral:rRNA from 1 species
UACGGAGGUGGCAAGCGUUGCUCGGAAUCACUGGGCGUAAAGGGCGCGUAGGCGGCCUGAUAAGUAGGGGGUGAAAUCCUGCGGCUUAACCGCAGGGCUGCCUUCUAAACUGUCGGGCUUGAGCACAGUAGAGGCAGGUGGAAUUCCCGGUGUAGCGGUGGAAUGCGUAGAGAUCGGGAAGAACAUCAGUGGCGAAGGCGGCCUGCUGGGCUGUUGCUGACGCUGAGGCGCGACAGCGUGGGGAGCAAACAGG